rnacentral:rRNA from 1 species
UCGGGAAUUUUGGGCAAUGGGCGAAAGCCUGACCCAGCAACGCCGCGUGAAGGAUGAAGUAUUUCGGUAUGUAAACUUCGUAAGAAUAGGAAGAAUAAAUGACGGUACUAUUUGUAAGGUCCGGCUAACUACGUGCCAGCAGCCGCGGUAAUACGUAGGGACCAAGCGUUGUUCGGAUUUACUGGGCGUAAAGGGCGCGUAGGCGGCGUGGUAAGUCAUCUGUGAAAUCUCCGAGCUUAACUCGGAACGGUCAGAUGAUACUGCUGUGCUAGAGUACAGAAAGGGCAAUCGGAAUUCUUGGUGUAGCGGUGAAAUGCGUAGAUAUCAAGAGGAACACCUGAGGCGAAGGCGGGUUGCUAGGCUGAUACUGACGCUGAGGCGCGAAAGCUAGGGUAGCAAACGGGAUU